rnacentral:rRNA from 1 species
UACGUAGGGGGCAAGCGUUGUCCGGAAUUAUUGGGCGUAAAGAGCGUGUAGGCGGUCCGGUAAGUCGGCUGUGAAAGUCCAGGCUCAACCCUGGGAUGCCGGUCGAUACUGCCGGACUAGAGUUCGGAAGAGGCGAGUGGAAUUCCCGGUGUAGCGGUGAAAUGCGCAGAUAUCAGGAGGAACACCGGUGGUGUAGACGGCUCACUGGACCGUAACUGACGCUGAGACACGAAAGCGUGGGUAGCAAACAGG